rnacentral:rRNA from 1 species
UACGUAGGGGGCUAGCGUUGUCCGGAUUUAUUGGGCGUAAAGCGCGCGUAGGCGGCUUUACAGGUCCGUUGUGAAAACUCGAGGCUCAACCUCGAGACGCCGGUGGAAACCGUAAAGCUAGAGUCCGGAAGAGGAGAGUGGAAUUCCUGGUGUAGCGGUGAAAUGCGCAGAUAUCAGGAAGAACACCCGUGGCGAAGGCGGCUCUCUGGGACGGUACUGACGCUGAGACGCGAAAGCGUGGGGAGCGAACAGG